rnacentral:rRNA from 1 species
GCUUACGGCCAUACCACCCUAAACACGGUCAAACUCGUCUGAUCUCGAAUGCAAAGCAGGGUCGGGCCUGGUUCUCCAUUCUUCGUUACUGAAAGCA